AAUCUGGGGUCCCCCGACCCCCGAGUUGUAAUUUGGAGAGGCAUCUUCGGGGGGGAGCGCUGGCCCAUGUUCCUUGGAACAGGACGUCGCAGAGGGUGAGAAUCCCGUGCCAGGCCGGCUGCCUCCUCCCAGGUGGAGGGCCUUCGACGAGUCGAGUUGUUUGGGAAUGCAGCUCCAAGUGGGUGGUAAAUUUCAUCUAAAGCUAAAUACCGGCGGGAGACCGAUAGCGCACAAGUAGAGUGAUCGAAAGAUGAAAAGCACUUUGAAAAUAGAGUCAAAAAGUACGUGAAAUUGUUGAAAGGGAAGCGCUUGAGACCAGACUCAGACCCGAGCAAACAUCGCGCCCCUCGGGGCCGUGCAAUUGCCUGGGGCUGGGCCAGCAUCAGUUGGCGUGGCGGGACAAAGGCGCGGGGAAUGUGGCUCCCCUCGGGGAGUGUUAUUAGGCCCGCGCUCAAUGCCGCCGCCGCCGACUGAGGACCGCGCCUCGGCUAGGAUGCUGGCAUAAUGGCCUUCAGCGACCCGUCUUGAAACACGGA
rnacentral:rRNA from 1 species